CCCUGGGUGGUGCAAAUGAUGAAUGUGUUUGGCUACUAACCAAAAGGUUGGAGGUUUGAUUCCACCCCGAGGCA
rnacentral:tRNA from 1 species